rnacentral:rRNA from 1 species
AAAGUGUAUAUCGUCAUUGCUGCGGUUAAAAAGCUCGUAGUUGGAUCUGCGCCUCAGGACUCGGUCCGCCCACUGGGUGAGAACUGGGCUCCUAGGCUAAUACUGCUGGUUUUCCCUAUGUUGCCUUCACCGGUCGCGUAGGGUGGCUAGCGUGUUUACUUUGAAAAAAUUAGAGUGCUUCACGCGGGCUAUUGUCUGAAUACUCGUGCAUGGAAUAAUAGAAUAGGAUCUCGGUUCUAUUUUGUUGGUUUUCUGAUCUGAGAUAAUGGUUAAGAGGGACGGACGGGGGCAUUCGUAUCGCUGCGUGAGAGGUGAAAUUCUUGGACCUUAGCGAGACGUCCGACUG